rnacentral:lncRNA from 1 species
AUUGAAUAACAAUAAUAUUAAAAAGGUCCCAAGGAUCCUCAACAAUUCACAUGGUUCAAAUCAAUUCAAGAAAGAUCAUCUACUAGUUCUAAUCAAAUAGAAAUUUAGCUACUCAUGCUAAACAUAACAAUGAAAUUAUGAAUAAUAGACAUGAUUUGCACCUUUUGAAUAAAGACUCAAUGAAGAAUUCUUUUGUCUCUAGGUUACGGCCGUGAAUCCCUUUCUCCAAAGUCUGCCUCCCUUUUUUCCAAAUAAAAGCUGCUAUAUAUAUGUUGAAAAGCAAGUACCCAUCGUGCACUAAGAAUAGAUUGCGUCCCUAUAAUGCAUAAUCUGUCUUUUCUUAUGAUGACGUGUCA